GAUGAACGCUGGCGGCGUGCCUAAUACAUGCAAGUCGAGCGAACGGACGAAAAGCUUGCUUUUCUGAUGUUAGCGGCGGACGGGUGAGUAACACGUGGAUAACCUACCUAUAAGACUGGGAUAACUUCGGGAAACCGGAGCUAAUACCGGAUAAUAUUUUGAACCGCAUGGUUCAAAAGUGAAAGACGGUCUUGCUGUCACUUAUAGAUGGAUCCGCGCUGCAUUAGCUAGUUGGUAAGGUAACGUCUUACCAAGGCAACGAUGCAUAGCCGACCUGAGAGGGUGAUCGGCCACACUGGAACUGAGACACGGUCCAGACUCCUACGGGAGGCAGCAGUAGGGAAUCUUCCGCAAUGGGCGAAAGCCUGACGGAGCAACGCCGCGUGAGUGAUGAAGGUCUUCGGAUCGUAAAACUCUGUUAUUAGGGAAGAACAUAUGUGUAAGUAACUGUGCACAUCUUGACGGUACCUAAUCAGAAAGCCACGGCUAACUACGUG
rnacentral:rRNA from 1 species